rnacentral:rRNA from 1 species
AACGAACGCUGGCGGCAGGCCUAAUACAUGCAAGUCGAACGCACCGCAAGGUGAGUGGCAGACGGGUGAGUAACGCGUGGGAAUCUUACUUGCAGUACGGAAUAACUCCGGGAAACCGGUGCUAAUACCGUAUACGCCCUUUGGGGGAAAGAUUUAUCGCUGCAAGAUGAGCCCGCGUCGGAUUAGCUAGUUGGUGGGGUAAUGGCCUACCAAGGCGACGAUCCGUAGCUGGUCUGAGAGGACGAUCAGCCACACUGGGACUGAGACACGGCCCAGACUCCUACGGGAGGCAGCAGUAGGGAAUAUUGGACAAUGGGCGAAAGCCUGAUCCAGCCAUGCCGCGUGAGUGAAGAAGGCCUUAGGGUUGUAAAGCUCUUUUGGCGGGGACGAUAAUGACGGUACCCGCAGAAUAAGCUCCGGCUAACUUCGUGCCAGCCGCCGCAGUAAUAC